CUGUAUAGGUAUCACACCGGUAAUUGACCAAUCAAAAUGAACUUAGUCAAAUGUAGGUCCAUAUAUAUAGAAUUAAUUUUCUUUUCUUUUGAGGCGUUUUUCUAUUUUCUUCCAUGCCACUUUUACAACUUUGGUACCUGUGCCUAGUAAAUUUUAUGUACUUUGUGAAUAAAUAAAGGUUUUGGACAGGAACUAUUUUUUUCAUGGCAUAGGAGGCUACUUCCUGUAGUGCACUCGAGGUGUUUAUAAACACAGUGAAAACACGUGGAUUUGAGGGUAGCCCUGUUUGCAGAUGGAAAAAGUCAGAAAAUGCCGUGUGGGUACCCUGUUUUUUGGUGUCAGCUAAUGUGACAGGUUCUUAUCAUCAAAGCCAGUUUAAUGGAGUGUGGGAGCUGUGAAGAACCUCCCUAGAUGCUGAUAUCAUUUUGACUGCCCUGAGUUACAACACAGCAUUUAGAUAAACUUCUGCACAGCAGCUUGUAGACACAUACCUAGGCUUUAUUUGGAACAUAAAUUGACCAGAUACAGUGUUCAUUAUCAACCCAGUAUUUAACAAUUUCUGUAUUUUUGUUCAUUCUUUGAAGGGGAAAAUGCUACUUUGUUAUGUAAUAAUUACAUAAUGGUCUUAGACUUGUAAACUCUUUUCUGUUUGUGGUGAAGAACAAAGCAUAUACUCUCCACGGAUAAAAAAUUGGUUGCCAAGCUUAUUCUUUUAAUGGUGAAAUUCUGCUUCAAAAGAUGCACAAAAAACUG